rnacentral:rRNA from 1 species
CAGCAGCCACGGUAAUACGGAGGAUCCGAGCGUUAUCCGGAAUUAUUGGGUUUAAAGGGUGCGUAGGCGGACAGAUAAGUCAGUGGUGAAAGACGGUGGCUCAACCAUCGCAGUGCCGUUGAUACUGUUUGUCUUGAAUAUGGAUGAGGUAGGCGGAAUGUGGCAAGUAGCGGUGAAAUGCAUAGAUAUGCCACAGAACACCGAUUGCGAAGGCAGCUUACCAAGGCAAUAUUGACGCUGAGGCACGAAAGCGUGGGGAUCGAACAGGAUUAGAUACCCGAGUAGUCCCUGUCUCUUAUAC